rnacentral:tRNA from 2 species
GUGGGAUUAGCUAAGUUUGGUUAUAGCGCCAGAUUGUGGCUCUGGAGGCCAUGGGUUCGACUCCCAUAUCUCACC